rnacentral:rRNA from 1 species
UAGGGAAUUUUGCGCAAUGGGCGAAAGCCUGACGCAGCAACACCGCGUGAGCGAUGAAGCCCUUUGGGGUGUAAAGCUCUGUCAGUGGGGACGAAAUUUGACGGUACCCACAGAGGAAGCAUCGGCUAACUACGUGCCAGCAGCCGCGGUAAGACGUAGGAUGCAAGCGUUGUCCGGAUUUAUUGGGCGUAAAGAGUUCGUAGGUGGCAUAUCAAGUCUGGUGUUAAAUCCCGGGGCUCAACUCCGGUUCAGCACUGGAUACUGGUAAGCUAGAGUGCAGUAGAGGCAAGGGGAAUUCCUAGUGUAGCGGUGAAAUGCGUAGAUAUUAGGAGGAACACCAGUGGCGUAAGCGCCUUGCUGGGCUGUAACUGACACUGAGGAACGAAAGCCGGGGGAGCAA